GGAACAAUGAGCAGGUGUCUGUACAUAGUUACCAUAAACGCUCUUAUAUUUGUUAACAGAGAGAGUACAACACAUUCAGAAUAAAUCUGACAAAGUCACUACAACUACCAAAAGCACCCUUGACAUUCUUAUCCCGCAGACUGAGAACUUGAUAUUUUUCGUGACGUAAUAUCAGUAGUGCAACAAAAUGUAAGGGUGCGUUUGGGAGUAAAGUAUUUUUGGAGUUUUUUUAGAAAUACUGUGGUUUCUGAAAAAACCUUGGUAUUAAAUACUUUGAAGCGUUUGGCUCAAAAAAUUACUGUAGUUUAAUAUACUGUGGUAUCUUUGAUACUGUAGUUUUUCUGCAGUAUUUAAAAAAGAGGCCCUGGCUUUUGACACCGCCAUCUACAUACUGAUCAGAAAAUCAGUCGCCGCGGCCGCCGACUCAUCUAUAUGUUAUAUAUUUUAUAAUGAAAUUCACUGGUUGCCGAAUACUUUCUGCACGUCUCGAACAAAGCUAGCACACGACUCGUGCAUGGCCAUGUAGCUGCAGGUGAUUAAUCCGGUCGUACACUAGCACACGACUGAUUAAUCCGGUGGUGUUGCUUUUUAGGUGUUGAUGAGUUAGCACGUGCUAUUUGGCCAUGUAGUUAUCAACAGAACUGUAGCAAAAUAACAUCAGCCAAACGCUUCGGUGGACUUGACAAAACUGAGAAAAACUAUGGUUUUUAAAAGCCAGAGUAAUUGUUCCCCACACAUAAGAAAACUGUGGUUUUAGGAUACUUUGGUUUUUCAAAAACUGUGCUGUCAAACUAAGCUUAAAUGGUAUGCGCGUCCACUAGCAACAUAGAGGCGAACAGUUCAAAAAAUGUAACACGUGGUGCCUAGUUACUGACAAAAAGUGACUCCUGCAAUUAGGCUUUACGAUUUAGUGACUUCCUCAAGCAAACACAACCAUUUCUGCUUUGGAGCAGCCCAAAACUCAUUUUGACUAAGGCCUGCUUGGAUUGAGGAGUUCUUUUUGUUUGGUCGACAAUGCUUAGCUCAGUUGACACAAAAAUUACACUCAAUCAAAACAGAGCCAGACAUGAAAUUCAUCUCGACGAACAUAUCCUCAUAUGCGAGGAAGAACAGUGCAUAUAUCACACACACGGACAAACAAAAUAACAAAGACUUAUUUGUUUGCAGGUCAAGGACAACACCAUGACAUACAGACUCACAUUCACUAACACAACAAUAUCUUCCAGAGUAUCAAGGAGCAGAACCUAUCUAGUGCACAUGCACUCAGAAGAAAUAAGUAAGCAGACAACCACUGACAGCACCAACGAACUUUUUGACAGAAUACAAAUGAAUUGUCGAUCGGCCAGACCAAUCGACUAACACCGUAGCACCUAAAAAUCAGAGCUUAAAGGGGACGAACCCACCCACAGCGACGAUGACGAGGAGCAACACGUAGGCGGAGGGCAGGAGGCCCCUGGCGAAGGCGAGGAUGCGGCACCCGUCGCUGCAGCGCAACAGGCAGAAGGCGGUGGAAAUGGGGGUCGAUUGAGAGUUUACAAAAGGAGCGCCUGACAAGGAUAUGGGGGCCGGGGGUGCUGCUACUUAUAUUGUACGCAGAUGGGAGGAGAGGCAAGUGUGCGACUUCUUUCCGAUGUUGUGAGCAAUCGACGGAGUCAGACCGCAGCGAUCACAUACGGCAGAUGACACUACUAGUACGUGGGGACGGACGACGGACACAAACGGCAGCGACGGCUGUAGCGUGCGGGGAUCAUUUGUGCACGCGCGUUCAAGCGGCCCAACACACCUCCUCCUUCCUGCUUUGCUUAAUAAAAAUAUUACGGUGGUCACACAGUUUCGGCAGGGGCGUUUCGUUUGGUUCCAUCGAUCCUGCCAAGCUGGUGGGUGGAGUCGGCUAGAAUUGUUUGUUUUUUUCUCCUAGAAAAAGUGGGUAUGCGUCGAACGGGUAACGGGGCUUGUGCGGCAGAGGAGGAACCGUGGGAAAGCAUCGGCUCACUCGGCGGUGGCAUUAGUUUAGUCGAAUAGAAAAAAAAUAUGUUUUUAACAAACUAUUAGAUGCAGAAACUUAUACAUAAUUCACUCAUAUGAACACACACCAUGUCCCUAUAAGCACAUUCUAGAGACUGAGCCGAGACAUCAACUUCAGAUUGACAAAGUCAUCACAUGCCCCUUCACACUCCACGGGAACGCUAAACGUACAUCUCCAAAAUGCCUGAAAUACAUCCAAAAAAUGCGAGCACCAAUGCCAAUUAUAGGACUUAAAACCCUGGUGGGCUGGUUCUACCACAAAGAACCUAACCAUCUGACCUAGGCUCUGUUUUUAGAAUAACAGGGAGACCCCUCCCCGGCUCCAUUGCCAGAAUGAAACCACAUAGCCAUACAUAAACUGGACGGGGGUUCUCUAGAUGCUAAGGGUUAUUGGUGCUAAUAUAACAGUAAACUAGAGAAAAACACAAGGGAGAGGGGGGAUACAUAAAAAAGCAAGGCACAACUUUGGGUUUUUUCUCAUCCCAAAGCGUACAUGUUUCGGGUCGGCCCAGCAGCAGCAGGUCCCAAAGGCCGAAGCCAGACAGGCUCCUUCCUGUGCAGCCCCGAGCAUGUGCUGUGUGCGUCCCCCUCGACCGCCGCAGCCGGCCUCCGUCCCCUGCCUGAGCUAAAUCCGAUUCUGCACCCGCUACAAUACAAUCCCCAAUCGGCCGCAUAGCCCCCUCUCCGCUGGGCCGGCCCAUCUAGCUUUCUUCUGUGUUUUUUUCAAACCACAAAAAAAGGAGUGCUGGUGCUACGACUCGAACCUGGGAGGUCCAACUUAUUGUUAGCUGCAGUAAACACCCCGCCACCCCCAACUGGACGUUCUAACUUCCAUCUUUUUGCAUAUUUUUCUUCGUUUCUUUUUUCUUCUGUUUUCGUUUUUAUUUUUUUCUUUUCUUCUUUUUUUUAUUUUCUUCUUUCAGGUUCGAUGAACUUUUUUCAAAUUCGUGAAACUUUUUUCUUAAUUGAUAUUUUUUUCAAAUUCAAUGAUCUUUUUUCCUUAAAAAUUGAUGAAUUUUUUUUUCAAAUUUUAUGAACUUUUUUUAAAUUUGAUGAACUUUUUUCAAAAUCGGUGAACUUAUUUCAAAAUCGAUGAACUUUUUAUUCAAAAUCGAUAAAUUUUUUUCCAAAUUUCGUGAACUUUUUUCCAGCAUUUGAUGAGCUUUUUCAAAAUCCAUGAAAUAUUUUUAUGAACUUUUUUCAUGAAUUUAUGAGUUUUUUGUGAACCUUUACGUAAAAGUCAACAGUCAACAACCUGAGCAGUGGGUCCAUGCUGGUGGUGAAAGGCCAAGCGGUCGUGGGGAUCGAGCGAUCGAGGCAAUCGAAAGAAUGCUCGUGUAGGGCCAGCCCACAAGGGGUGUGCGUGAGCGCUGCUACCCUUUACUGGCGCAGAGGGCGCCGAAGAGGUGGUCUCCCUGCCUGAGCUGCCUGGCCGCGCCGCGCAGGGACGCCGAGUCGAGCUCACUGCUUACCUGCUCAUCUGCUUCGGUGCUCCUGUUCCUCUCGGAACGGACUUGGUAACUUCUAAUCUAUCUAGCUCAAAACAAUGCAUGUGCUCGACUGAACCUGAACCUGAACCGAUGCAUUUUGUUAUCAGUCCAUUCCCAUUUCAUGCUAUACUACUACUAGUAACAGAAGAUGACAGAGAUGCUUCUCGUGGACAAAUGAACCAAACCCAUUGAAGAAUACUUGGCUAUGUUCUGCAGCAUAGACAUAGUGCCUGGCUCUGAGUAUGACUGCAGCUAUGACACUGCCAUAUCCCCCCGCAAACUGAUCAAAUGUAAUGCCUGAAACAGGCCGUGCAUUUUUCCACUUGCCAAAUCUACCGUCAUUGCCCUCGGAAAUUCAGGACAUGCCAGACUACUCAAUGUAUUCCUAAUCCCUGGUGCUAGACAAAACAAAUUUCUCACGGACCAAUCCACACUGUAAUAUCUACUGUAACAGAGAGUCCCGGAAAAUUUUGAACUGUACUCAUGGGAGAAGGAAAGGCGGAGAGUAUAUAUAUACACACCGGGUGAGACAAUUCCUAAUGUCAGUUUAGAAUGUAUCGUCAGAUUUACAGACAGGGGAGUGCCGACUAUUUUAACUUGAGGAACAGUGAGCAGCAGGUGUUCAACAUAAUAUAACACAUUCAGAGUAAGUCGGACGACGUCAUCCUUGACAUCCUUCUGCUGCACACUUUCUCACACGGUGGACUGGUAUUUCUCUUCAUGGAAUAUUAGCAGUACAACAAAAUUUUGUAGAACCCCAACACAAGCAUAGACUGCAACUCACUCGUAACAUACAGGCGAACAAAAACAGUGUCUCCUAUUCCUUGAUUCUCGUUUGGUUGCAGAGACUCUGUGUAGACGUCUGGCAUUGUCGGUCGAUCUUUUGGUGUCUCUGUGGAGCAUGAGAGACCAAGCUGAACAAGCUGCAUAAUGCAGCUCAGCAUCCCCACCAUUGUGGUUUCCAUGGUCCACGCCUUCGUCUCCAGAGCUCGGGAUUAUGAUGUUAGGAUCAAGUAUAUCACGGAUCUUUUCGGGGAAUGAAUUCCCCACAAAUUUCUGAAGGGUCAGGCCAUUCUUGAACAACACAUCUGUUGGGCGUUUCCCCGUGAGCAUUUCUAGGAUGAUAAUUCCAUAGCUAUAGACAUCGCCUGCUGUUGAGAUCUGCUGUUGAGAUCUUGUUCCCGAUGCCAUACUCUGCAUUGUUUAACAUUGAGUUAUCUUACAACAUUGAUUACUGAAAACCAUGCAAGUUUCCUUUUAAAGAAUGGAAAAGUAAAACUUGAAUGAUACUAGGGAGUGAGGAAAGCUAAUAAUAAUAUAGUGAAUGUUUACCUGGUGCAAUGUUUCCAACUGAUCCUCUUGGUCCUUGUAAGCUCGUGGAAGUAAUAGUACUUGAAAGAGUUAUGACUUUGAAGGAACUUAGCUAACCCAAAGUCACUGAGACGGGCACCCAUGUCAUCAUCUAGAAGCACAUUGCUAGGCUUCAAAUCAUAAUGGAUUACAGGGGGCCACACAGCUGUUAUGCAAAUAUCCAAUGCAGCAGCUAUGUCCUGCUAUUGUUACUCUAAAUCUGGACAUAAAUCGACGUCUACAGCUAUUAUAUGGUGCUUCUAAAGCUGGUGGCUGGGAGUUGUACAAGGGAUGACAAAGUUAUCAAACUGAAACAUUUUUGUCCAGGAUGUAAAGAACCUUAGCUACUGGAGAUGCUAGGAGUAUAAUGGAUGCUAAGCUUCUUGGACAGUUCCAUACCAAGCAGGUGAUAAUCAUGAUGACGAAUGCUGUAUCGGACUUAACCCUCUGUUGGCCUUUAACUUGAUAAACCAAUUCAUGCUUUUAGGUUCUUUUCCACAUCGACCAUGUUCCAUCAUUUUCAGAAUUCUUUCAGUCAACACCUUACUAAUAGUCUAUCAUAGUUUCUCAAACGAUAUGUCCAGUUUUUAUUCCAAAAAAGAGAGAAAGAAAAUUGCCUUCGACAAAGGAAAGCAGAAAGCAACAGAGUGCCUGACUCUGACUGCACUCCACUCCUAGUUUAUCUCCUGAAUGCGAAGUUCUGAACUAAUUUACCUAAUGCAGCUUCGACACAUUGACACUGCCACAUACUCCCUC
rnacentral:lncRNA from 1 species